rnacentral:rRNA from 1 species
ACUCCUACGGGAGGCAGCAGUAGGGAAUCUUCCACAAUGGGCGAAAGCCUGAUGGAGCAACGCCGCGUGGGUGAAGAAGGUCUUCGGAUCGUAAAACCCUGUUGUUAGAGAAGAAAGUGCGUGAGAGUAACUGUUCACGUUUCGACGGUAUCUAACCAGAAAGCCACGGCUAACUACGUGCCAGCAGCCGCGGUAAUACGUAGGUGGCAAGCGUUAUCCGGAUUUAUUGGGGCGUAAAGGGAACGCAGGCGGUCUUUUAAGUCUGAUGUGAAAGCCUUCGGCUUAACCGGAGUAGUGCAUUGGAAACUGGGAGACUUGAGUGCAGAAGAGAAGAGUGGAACUCCAUGUGUAGCGGUGAAAUGCGUAGAUAUAUGGAAGAACACCAGUGGCGAAAGCGGCUCUCUGGUCUGUAACUGACGCUGAGGUUCGAAAGCGUGGGUAGCAAACAGGAUUAGAUA